GGGAUAAUAGUAUAGUGGUUAGUACUUCUCGUUGUGGUUAAACACAGCGAUCCGAGAGGACCCAGGUUCGAUUCCUGGUUAUCCCA